AUUGAACGCUGGCGGCAUGCUUUACACAUGCAAGUCGAACGGCAGCGCGGGGCAACCUGGCGGCGAGUGGCGAACGGGUGAGUAAUAUAUCGGAACGUACCCAGAAGUGGGGAUAACGUAGCGAAAGUUACGCUAAUACCGCAUACGAUCUACGGAUGAAAGCGGGGGACCUUCGGGCCUCAUCCUUUUGGAGCGGCCGAUAUCUGAUUAGCUAGUUGGUGAGGUAAAGGCUCACCAAGGCGACGAUCAGUAGCUGGUCUGAGAGGACGACCAGCCACACUGGGACUGAGACACGGCCCAGACUCCUACGGGAGGCAGCAGUGGGGAAUUUUGGACAAUGGGCGCAAGCCUGAUCCAGCAAUGCCGCGUGAGUGAAGAAGGCCUUCGGGUUGUAAAGCUCUUUUGUCAGGGAAGAAACGGCCGAGGAUAAUACCUUCGGCUAAUGACGGUACCUGAAGAAUAAGCACCGGCUAACUACGUGCCAGCCGCCGCGGUAA
rnacentral:rRNA from 1 species